rnacentral:rRNA from 1 species
GCGUGGGUAACCUGCCGUAUACAGGGGGAUAACACUUAGAAAUAGGUGCUAAAACCGCAUAAGCGCACAGGAUCGCAUGGUCUGGUGUGAAAAACUCCGGUGGUAUACGAUGGACCCGCGUCUGAUUAGCUUGUUGGUGGGGUAGAGGCCCACCAAGGCGACGAUCAGUAGCCGGCCUGAGAGGGUGAACGGCCACAUUGGGACUGAGACACGGCCCAAACUCCUACGGGAGGCAGCAGUGGGGAAUAUUGCACAAUGGGGGAAACCCUGAUGCAGCGACGCCGCGUGAGUGAAGAAGUAUUUCGGUAUGUAAAGCUCUAUCAGCAGGAAAGAAAAUGACGGUACCUGACUAAGAAGCCCCGGCUAACUACGUGCCAGCAGCCGCGGUAAUACGUAGGGGGCAAGCGUUAUCCGGAUUUACUGGGUGUAAAGGGAGCGUAGACGGUGAAGCAAGUCUGAAGUGAA